rnacentral:rRNA from 1 species
GAUGAACGCUGGCGGCGUGCCUAAUACAUGCAAGUCGAGCGAACGGACGAGAAGCUUGCUUCUCUGAUGUUAGCGGCGGACGGGUGAGUAACACGUGGAUAACCUACCUAUAAGACUGGGAUAACUUCGGGAAACCGGAGCUAAUACCGGAUGAUAUUUUGAACCGCAUGGUUCAAAAGUGAAAGACGGUCUUGCUGUCACUUAUAGAUGGAUCCGCGCUGCAUUAGCUAGUUGGUAAGGUAACGGCUUACCAAGGCAACGAUGCAUAGCCGACCUGAGAGGGGGAUCGGCAAACUGGGAACUGAACCCGGGCCCAGAUCCCACGGGAGGGAGGAAGAAGGAAAUUUUCCGAAAUGGGCAAAAGCCUGAGGGACAAAGGCGGGGUGGGUGAGGAAGUUUUUCGAUUGGAAAACUCUGUUAAUUGGGGAGAACAUUUGUUUAAGGAACUGUUCAAAACUUGGAGGGUACUUAUCAGAAAAGCACGGGUAAAUACGGG